rnacentral:tRNA from 3 species
GGGCCCGUAGCUCAGCAUGGACAGAGCACCGGCCUUCUAAGCCGGGGGUCGGGGGUCCGAAUCCCCCCGGGCCCG